UGGGCAAGAGGGCUACCCCACCGAGGACGUCCCCACGGCCUUCGACAACUUCUCCGCCCUGUGGACAAGCACCGAGCUUUUGGUAACAGAUUUGGUGUCCCUGAUUUGAGUCGUAGCUUCCUGUAGAAUGGCACCCUGAGACUGCUGGAAGAAGCAGGGAGCAGCUCCAGGUCACACCAUGAAUGGGAGCAUCGCCUUUUCAGCCCCAACCAACCUGAACUGAUUUGAGGAGAAAGCAACAGAUUUGGGAAGCAUCAGGAUAGCCACAGCCAUUUGAUGGAGAGACAACUCCUUAGUGAGGAUUUCCCCGAGCUAUUGCCUCUUCUGUUGAUCUGUGUUUGUAUUUGUCAUCCUAAACCUUGUUCAGUGCUGUGUAUGAUUUCUGAAUUUACAGACAUCAGAUCAUCUACAGAGUGCAAGGAAUAGCUCUGCACUCAGAGGUCCCAUGGUGUCUCUUUCUAGCCCAGCCCUGUAUCAGACGUUGUGUACAAGCUUUCAGUAACAAAAUCACUUCAGAACCAUCAGAACCGCGAAGAGGUAGUAAAAUGUGAAAAACUGUUACUAAGCAAUGGACAAUAGCACCUUACAGAAAGCCUGAGGGAAAAGUGCUUUAGGAUAAAAGAGCUCCUGAAGAGAUACUCAGAGAUGGAUAAUAAUUGUGAAUGCUUAACUGGAUUGUCUGUUGACUUGGAGACAGAAAUUGAAACCCAAAAAGAGCUUUCAAUUGGAGUAAAAGCAAACCUGUCACUUCCAGAUUCGCAAACCAAACAGAUUCAAAAACUUCUUACCGCAAACCAGAGAUGUUCCAUGGAAUUCCACUGAAUCAUGAAGAAACUUAAGGCCAUAAUGAAUGAAUCAACAGAAUUUGAGGAAGGAAGUGCUAUCAUAUCUAAAGAAUGGGAGCACGACCUGAAAUCAUCGAAAGAGCAAAAUGAAAAACUAAAAAUUACCAAACUUUGAAGGUCACCCAGGCAUCUAGUGCCCAUGUUAAUCCCAACACACAAGAUGAUAAGAAUCUUCAUGUUCUAUGAGAUAUUUUGAAUCUGCUCCUUCAUCAUGAAAUUCACAGCAAAAUUAUAGUAUUGAAUGUAUUUAUUAAGGAAUGAGAACAACAUUUCCGUAAAAUUCAGGAGC